rnacentral:piRNA from 1 species
UCUGACUGUAGUGUAAUUCAUGAGUGGU